AGGAUGGAAAAGAAUAGAAGAGUAAGAGAAAUUGGAUGGAACUAGAGGAGAACUGAAUAGGAAUAAAAAAUUUGGCUUGAUUUCCUACUGGUAGAGUUCUUCCUAAUUUUCGAGAGUUGAACUUAUUGAUGGAAGAUCUCUGACCCUCUAUUUAUAGAGGGGAUGAUGAGGUUAUUUUAAAAUUUGUUAGAUCGUUAGGAGAGUUUGUUAGACGAUUAGAGAGCCACCUGUAAAUGAACUAACGUACAGCUGUGCAUACAAACUGGAUAUG
rnacentral:lncRNA from 1 species